CCUCUUUCUCCAGCUUCUCAGGGCCAGCUCUCCUGCCUGCUAAGACUCCGAAUUGCUAGGGUUUUCUUGCUAGACUUUUCUGAUGAGGAAACUGGAGCUCAGAGAGGGGAAAUGCCUCACCUGAGGUGACACAGCCUAUGAAGGACAGAGCCAUGCCCUUUCUCUGGUAUGGACUACUUCUAACCAGAGCUGCUGUGAGGUUGGGUUGGGACCUGCACUAUCUCAUUUAAUCCUCAGAACAGCCCUGUGGAGGAGUCACUGUGACCCCCGUCAGUGCCUGGACAAGAUAACUGAAGCUCAGAGUAAAACUUCAGUCGCAGGGUGCGUAGCGAUGGGGACGCGUUCUGAGAAGUCAUCGUUGGGCGAUUUCGUCAUUGUGUGAACAUCACAGAGUGUGCUCACACAAACCCAGAUGGCAUGGCCUGCCACACCCCUAGGCUGGAUGGUACAUACCUUACGGGACCACCAGCGUAUGUGCGAUCUGUCACCGACGGUCUGUCUGUCAUUAUGCGGCGCCUGACUGUAUUUGCCCAACUCUUUAUUGCUUCCUUACAAGUGCCCCCCUUCCAUCCCACAGUUAAAACGGGCCAAUUCUCUAGGUAAAGAACUAACCUGGCAGGACUGUCGGGGUCUCUGGGGGCCCCCAUAGGUUGACCGUGCUGGGAACCAGAAUCUGGGUUUGAGGAAAUGAUGUCUUGAAGUGUUCUGCAGGAGGGGCAUUCCUUUUCUCACUCUCUCUAGGGGAAGAGCGGCAGAGGUGGAGGGGCAGGAGCUACACGUGGACCACCGGGAGUGAGGCACAUCUGGGGGCUCGGGGGAGGCCGGGGCUGAGGCCCACGCUCCCUUGCUGGAAGGGAAGCUGGGCAAGCUGGGAGACCAGGCCCCUGCAGCUCCUGUCCCUGUCCACUGCUUCAGCCCGCCCGCACCCGGGCCCAUCUCUCCAGCCUUUGGCCGUCUCCCGGUCCUUGGCUGGUGAGGGGUAAGAAGAGGCCACUUGGCUCUGUAGAAUGGGGCCAGGCCCUCAGGUUGGAGCUGGACGUGCUGCCAGGCUCCUCCUCGGGCCUCUGGAGCCCCCUGCGAGCUCACAGAGACAGAAUGUGUUGAGUUCCCAAGUGGUUUCGUAUAAAGGCUAUGUGUUAACGGGAUCGAGGUGUUCUUCCAAGACCCAGAAUCCCCUGGGGUGCCACGUGGCAUGGAGGGAGGGAAGGUUCUGGGCGUCUCACCCCCUCUUUGGCUGGAGCAGCCUCCUUUUUCUGUCUCAUACGUCAUGAUGGUUUGUUUGAACAAGAGUUGCAUUGCUAAAAAACAUCACAAACAGCCAUGGCCUUCACCUUGCCCAGCUCUUUCUCUAGAAUCCAGAGGGAGACUGAGGCCACUCCAAACCACCCCCCACCUCCCCCAGCACUACCCCCUGUUUAUCCCAUGCCAUCUGUUUGGCCUGACUACCGCAGCAGAACAUGAGACGGUGUGGCCUCGCCCAUCGGCUAUGGAAGCCACUGACAUGCUUGUCUCGCGGCGGGGCCAUCCAGUCUUGUGAUGUGGCUGGAUGGGGGCCCAGAAGGUUUCUUCCACUAUAGAUGGGGCCCUCCCUUCCCGGAGGAAUCUUAGCAAAGACAUUGAGGUGGGACGUCAGGGAAUGACUCACUAGGCUGGCAGGUAGGGGUCAGCCUCCAGCUGUGGCCAGAGUGAUGGGGACAGCCAGCCUCUGCUACUCUAAGUCCCAGCCCCUCUCUCCGACCCUCCACUCUGCUUUGAGACGGUGAAACGGAAGGAACUUGUGCUUGUUUAUUUGUUUGAAGAGCAAAUGCUUUUUUUUUUUGAGAUCGUAUUAUGAUGGUAUAUGGAGGUAGGGAUUAUGCAAGGUUCUCUGGGGAAUUCAAGG
rnacentral:lncRNA from 1 species